UACAGAGGUGGCAAGCGUUGUUCGGAAUUACUGGGCGUAAAGGGCGCGUAGGCGGUCAGGUCAGUCCCGUGUGAAAUCCCUCGGCUCAACUGAGGAACUGCACGGGAAACUGCCUGGCUUGAGUUCGGGAGAGUGAAGCGGAAUUCCGGGUGUAGCGGUGAAAUGCGUAGAUAUCAGGAGGAACACCCAUUGCGAAGGCAGCUCGCUGGGACGUUACUGACGCUGAGACGCGAAAGCGUGGGGAGCAAACAGG
rnacentral:rRNA from 1 species